rnacentral:rRNA from 1 species
UACGUAGGGGGCAAGCGUUGUCCGGAAUCACUGGGCGUAAAGGGCGCGUAGGCGGCAUGCCAAGCGUGUGGUGAAAGCCCGGGGCUCAACCCCGGGUCGGCCGUGCGGACUGGCGUGCUCGAGCACUGUAGGGGCGGGUGGAAUUCCGGGUGUAGCGGUGGAAUGCGUAGAGAUCCGGAGGAACACCAGUGGCGAAGGCGGCUGGCUGGACCUGACCUGACGCUGAGGCGCGAAGGCGUGGGGAGCGAACGG